CCUACGGGUGGCAGCAGUGAGGAAUAUUGGUCAAUGGGCGGAAGCCUGAACCAGCCAAGUCGCGUGAGGGAUUAAGGCCCUAUGGGUCGUAAACCUCUUUUGUCAGGGAGCAAGGUCGUCCACGUGUGGGCGUAUGGAGAGUACCUGAAGAAAAAGCAUCGGCUAACUCCGUGCCAGCAGCCGCGGUAAUACGGAGGAUGCGAGCGUUAUCCGGAUUUAUUGGGUUUAAAGGGUGCGUAGGCGGGACCUUAAUUCAGCGGUAACAUUGCGGUGCACAACGCGGUAGAGCCGGUGAAACUGGGGCUCAUGAGUGAGCGAGAAGUAUGCGGAAUGCGGGGUGUAGCGGUGAAAUGCAUAGAUAGCACGCAGAACCCCGAUGGCGAAGGCAGCAUACCGGCGCUCAACUGACGCUGAGGCACGAAAGUGCGGGUAUCGAACAGGAUUAGAUACCCGAGUAGU
rnacentral:rRNA from 1 species